AAGCACGGCUUCGCAGCGCACGCACGAGGAGCUCGCUCCUCCUCUCAAGCUGCGGGGAAAGUCCCCGUGCCCUUGGGCAGAGAGUGCCGGCGGGAGACCGCGAGGCCCCGGCCUGGCCGUUUGCGGCGAGGCCUCUUGGCGGAGCCAU
rnacentral:RNase_MRP_RNA from 11 species